AAUAACGUCAUUAAUAAAGUCAUCGACAGUCUUAUCGAUCUGCUCUUCAGAUGUACCUUCCGGAAAACGCCAUGCCACCGAAAAUCCUAAUUCCUGGAAUUCGUCAAUGUGCAUUUUUUUACGCAGAUACCGUGAGGGAAAGGCGAAAAGAACCCCGGCGAGGGGAGUGAAAAAGAACCUGAAACCGUGUACGUACAAGCAGUGGGAGCACAGGUUUACCUGUGUGACUGCGUACCUUUUGUAUAAUGGGUCAG
rnacentral:rRNA from 1 species